GAUUUUGUAAGAAGGGUUUUGCGGUAGCACUUAGCACAUACUCAGUCUUCCUCAGAUAACAUGCUGCUUCUCCUGUAAAAUAUCCAGGGUGAAAGCAGUGGUAGAUAACACAGCGAAAAUGAUAUUGAUCAACAGCUGUGCGUGAACAGGGCUUGGCUUGUCCUCUCUGCCUGCAGGCCCCCUCAGGAGCCGCAGACAUUAGCGACCCAAGUGGGAUCAGUGUCUUGCUUUUUUUUUUUAACAAUUAGUUUUUAUAGAGAGCUUCCCUGUGGGUUACACCAUCAGAGAGACCAUCAGCUCCCACCGGUCCCGGGGUAGGGACUGCAGGCGCUGUCAGCGCGCUCUCCAUCCUGUGUACGAAAACGUUUGACGUAAAGCUCCAAGCCGCACCGGGAGGUUUAUUCAGGGUCCUUGCUGACCUGUGGUCGGGCACCACAAAUAUACAGCAGGGCUCAAGGGCAGGAAGCAGACAUUUGCGCUCAAGUCUGAGAUCCAGCUUUUCAUCCUGAUCUCUUGCUGUGGCUAUGGCUUCAGCAUCUGUAUCUGCAGAAACUUCAGGAGCCCCUUCCAAUCAGUUAGCAGAAGUUGCCCGACGCUGGAGACCGGGGCUCUGCCCUGCUUCCUUCAAGCCUGGAAGGUGAUCCCGUGUGUGCAGGAUCACGGCGUGGUGAUGGCCAGGGCUCAGCAGCACGAACAGGGUUGCUCGAUGGUUAGGAGCUCGCUCAGCUGGUUGCCUGCCUGCUGGAUAGACCCGCCAUGGCGCUAGCGAG
rnacentral:lncRNA from 1 species